CCCUUAGAUGUUCUGGGCCGCACGCGUGCUACACUGAGUGGAUCAGCGGGUCAGGUUACGCGAGAGCGUUUCCUAAUCUUCAAAUCCGCUCGUGAUGGGGAUUGACGGUUGCAAUUUUCCGUCAUGAACGAGGAAUACCUUGUAAGCGCGGGUCAUCAUCCCGCGCUGAAUACGUCCCUGCCCUUUGUACACACCGCCCGUCGCUCCUACCGAUUGAGUGGUCCGGUGAGGCUUUGGGAUCUAAGCGAAAAGAGCGUUUCGCUCCUUUUGCUGGGGGAACUCAGUCGAACCUUAUCAUUUAGAGGAAGGAGAAGUCGUAACA
rnacentral:rRNA from 1 species